CUCCAGUUGAUCGCAUGGUCUUCUGGGAAAGCUUUCGCGGUAUGGGAUGGGGUCGCGUCCUAUCAGCUUGACGGCGGGGUAACGGCCCACCGUGGCUUCGACGGGUAGCCGGCCUGAGAGGGCGACCGGCCACAUUGGGACUGAGAUACGGCCCAGACUCCUACGGGAGGCAGCAGUGGGGAAUAUUGCACAAUGGGCGCAAGCCUGAUGCAGCGACGCCGCGUGAGGGAUGGAGGCCUUCGGGUUGUAAACCUCUUUUAUCGGGGAGCAAGCGAGAGUGAGUUUACCCGUUGAAUAAGCACCGGCUAACUACGUGCCAGCAGCCGCGGUAAUACGUAGGGUGCAAGCGUUAUCCGGAAUUAUUGGGCGUAAAGGGCUCGUAGGCGGUUCGUCGCGUCCGGUGUGAAAGUCCAUCGCUUAACGGG
rnacentral:rRNA from 1 species